GGCUAGAAGCACAUGUAGUGUGCUUUAAUUAAAAUCAACAAAGACUCAAGAACUGGAGAAGAGCUCAAUUUAGCUCUAUACUAACUGCACUGAGUAUUUAGCUUUCCUGAAGAACAUACACUACUGCAGCACUUCAUGGAGCUUCCAAAGGCCAUUCAUGUGCCCAGAACUUGACCUCAUUUUUGACUUGAGCACUGGUUUGGGUACAGAAGUGACUAUUCUCUGGGACAUACUAACUGCUAUAAAUGUGCAGAAAAGUAUCCAGGACAAGACAAGAUGACAAGAUGACUUCAAUCAAAAUGUGCUACUGCUGCUGUGCGCUCUUUCGUCAAAAAGGGAACAUGUGAUGUGCUGUCAUUAACAGUAAUGUGUUGUAAUAAUCCGUAUAACAUUUAAAUAGUCAUUCGUUGUAUAGAUGUGUUUUUAAUUUGUGUUAAAUGACUUGUACAUUUCGUUGAAAUUGCAA